UACGUAGGGUGCAAGCGUUGUCCGGAAUUAUUGGGCGUAAAGAGCUCGUAGGCGGUCUGUCGCGUCUGGUGUGAAAAUCCAGGGCUUAACCCUGGACCUGCAUCGGGUACGGGCAGACUAGAGUGCGGUAGGGGAGAUCGGAAUUCCUGGUGUAGCGGUGAAAUGCGCAGAUAUCAGGAGGAACACCGGUGGCGAAGGCGGGUCUCUGGGCCUGUCCUGACGCUCAGGCGCGAAAGCUAGGGGAGCGAACAGG
rnacentral:rRNA from 1 species